UUCAGAUGGAAAGAAGAUCUAUUUGCAUGAGUUGAUAGAAGGAAGUGAUCUAUGUUUACCAGAAGUCAAACCAAAACCUAGGUGAAAGAAAUGAACAGGCAAUUGGUUUCUGUGUUCAACUUCAUUGUAUCUGUGGGUGGGGCAUUUGCUUUUGGAUACAAGGCAACGCAAUAUACAUUUAGUGGGUACAGCAAUGUUUUUGCCCUGCAACUGGUAGCUGGUCUCACCCUGGCAUCUGUAGAUUUCUUCGCAGAUCUGUACUUUUUACUGAAGGAGUCUAUGUGACCGACAGUCUGACAUCUUGGAGAAGGACCUAGAUUACCGGUACCACAAACAAUGCUGGAUUUAAGCUAGGAGACUUUGGGUUCAUAGACAAUUCUGUACUUGAAGUCUGGUCAUGUUUAGGAAGACUUCACUAAAAUCCUUUAAUAAGGCCGGGGAAUUGGUCUAGGUAGCAGCCAUGGAGCACAGCUUAUAGAAACUAUACUUGUAACAAAAUAAACACAAUAUUUUUAGGGUUUGCACUAAUUCUGAUGGAUUUCAUUGUUAACUAAAUCCAAAUAAAUAAAAGUAAUUUCGUAUGUAUCGAAUUUGAAAAACAAACAGACUAUUUUCUGACCCACAAAAUCGGUAUGCUGGAACAAUGACAUUUUAAAUAAAAAAAACAUGUGCAUUUGGUCGUCUUUUAGCUUGAAAUUAAUAAAGUCGUAUUUUUGUUAAGAUUGAAGAUAGCUCAGUUCUGUAAGUGUCAUGCAUUUAAGCAAUUUAUGUUUUAGACUAGUAAAUUUUCAACAAAGACUACCAGUGUAUAAAUUGUACAUUGGUUAGAAUCUCGCUUUUCCAUACAACCUAUUAAAUUAAAAUAUUCAGCAGUAUCUAAUCAUAAAUUAUUCCGUGUGAUAAAUUGCUAAUUGAUUAGCUUCAUGAAUGUACAUUCCACAAGAAAGCAGUUCUGGGAUAUGGAGCAUAAAAAAUGUUUCUUUUACAGAAUUGUUUAAGGUGUGCCAAGAUGCACAAAAAAUGACAUUUUCAGAUCAAAACGUUUAGGCAGUUCAGACAACACUAUUUCAGGUGUGAAUGAACUGUUCAACUGAAUGAUGGACCAGUCCAUUUUAGAAAUUUAGCAGGCAAAGGGUUAAGGUGUGCCAAGAUGCACAAAAAUGACAUUUUCAAAUCAAAAAGUUUAGGCCAUUCAGACAACACUAUUUCAGGUGUGAAUGAACUGUUCAUAACUGGCAUGCAAUAUUAUUAGAAAUUCUAUGGAAACUUGUAUUUGGUGGAAUCUUUUGGAAUACAUGUAGGUUGUUUAACAGAAAGUUGUUUUAUAAGGACUUUUUUGAAAGUUUUUGGAAAUACAUUUGAAAAUGUUGACCUAUAUGUAUUUUAUCUUUAAUAAGUUUUGAUAGCCAGCAGUGCAAUAUUGUAAUAAUAAACUUGAAUUUACUC